rnacentral:rRNA from 1 species
GUUGGCAGGGGGCACCUGAUCGCCAUGCCGCGGUGUGUGAAGAAGGCCUUCGGGUUGUAAAGCACUUUCAGCGAGGAAGAACGCCUGGUGGUUAAUACCCAUCAGGAAAGACAUCACUCGCAGAAGAAGCACCGGCUAACUCCGUGCCAGCAGCCGCGGUAAUACGAA